rnacentral:rRNA from 1 species
GAUAAACGCUGGCGGCGUGCAUGAGACAUGCAAGUCGAACGAACUUCUCGGGCUUGCCCGAGAAGUUAGUGGCGGACGGCUGAGUAACGCGUAGGUGCCCUGCCCCAAAGUGGGGAAUAACUGCCCGAAAGGGUGGCUAAUACCGCAUGUGAUCGGUCAUUCCUUUGUUCGAUCAAAGCAGUAAUGCGCUUUGGGAGGGGCCUGCGUCCGAUUAGCUCGUUGGUGGGGUAAUGGCUCACCAAGGCGACGAUCGGUAGGUGGUCUGAGAGGACGAUCACCCAGACUGGGACUGAGACACGGCCCAGACUCCUACGGGAGGCAGCAGUCGGGAAUUUUGCUCAAUGGACGAAAGUCUGAAGCAGCAACGCCGCGUGAGGGAUGAAGGCCUUCGGGUUGUAAACCUCUUUUAUCAGGGACGAUGAUGACGGUACCUGAUGAAUAAGCCACGGCUAACUACGUGCCAGCCGCCGCAGUAAUAC